UGGGGAAUUUUGGACAAUGGGGGCAACCCUGAUCCAGCAAUGCCGCGUGAGUGAAGAAGGCCUUCGGGUUGUAAAGCUCUUUUGUCCGGGAAGAAAUCCCAUCUGUUAAUACCGGGUGGGGAUGACGGUACUGGAAGAAUAAGCACCGGCUAACUACGUGCCAGCAGCCGCGGUAAUACGUAGGGUGCAAGCGUUAAUCGGAAUUACUGGGCGUAAAGCGUGCGCAGGCGGUUGUGCAAGACCGAUGUGAAAUCCCCGGGCUUAACCUGGGAACUGCAUUGGUGACUGCACGGCUAGAGUGUGUCAGAGGGGGGUAGAAUUCCACGUGUAGCAGUGAAAUGCGUAGAGGUGUGGAGGAAUACCGAUGGCGAAGGCAGCCCCCUGGGAUAACACUGACGCUGAGGCGCGAAAGCUAGGGGAGCAAA
rnacentral:rRNA from 1 species